rnacentral:lncRNA from 1 species
AUUCGGCCUGCAAAACUUAUAGGCCACAUGUUUCAAAUGUGGCUUAGUCCAAAAUUAAUUAGUCAUUUCUGUUUGGAUUAUACUGUAGUUUUCUUUUGUUGUAAGAUAACUACAGUCUAAUGUACAAGAAGUCCUCUUCCGUCUUGUUUCAGCUGGAGAUCUGAUUAACUCUGAUUCUCCGGUUAAUUUUUGGUAAUGGUUAAAUCUAUUCCAUAAAUACAUGUAAAAAUUUACAUAGAGAUAAAUUUUAGGUGAGCUAAUUAAAGAGCAUUGGCAAGGCUUAAGAGAGAGAGUUACUAAGCAAAACCGUGAUAUUUUGAUUAGUUAGCCUAACGAGACCGAAAAAGCCUCCCUUGGUAUCAUCACUUUAACUCGG